AAAAUAAGAGUUCUACUUUAUAUAAGAAAUACUCCUCUAUUAUAUUGAGGAAUAUUUCUACUGCUCAAAUUAGGAAAAUGUCUCUUCAAAUCUUACUAGAAUUUUGAGUCAUAAUUCUAAUAAUAUCUACCUUGACUCAAAAAAUCAUUUAAUUAUUGCAUACUUGAAUUCUUAGAUGUCUUCAACCAUCAAAUCUUCAUAUUU
rnacentral:misc_RNA from 1 species